rnacentral:rRNA from 1 species
GCAUAUCAAUAAGCGGAGGAAAAAGAAAACCAACAGGGAUUGCCCCCAGUAACGGCGAGUGAAGCGGCAACAGCUCAAAUUUGAAAUCUGGUCCCUAGGGCCCCGAGUUGUAAUUUGUAGAGGAUGCUUUUGGUGAGGUGCCGCCCGAGUUCCCUGGAACGGGACGCCACAGAGGGUGAGAGCCCCGUCUGGCUGGCCGCCGAGCCUCUGUAAAGCUCCUUCGACGAGUCGAGUAGUUUGGGAAUGCUGCUCAAAAUGGGAGGUAUAUGUCUUCUAAAGCUAAAUAUUGGCCAGAGACCGAUAGCGCACAAGUAGAGUGAUCGAAAGAUGAAAAGCACCUUGAAAAGAGGGUUAAAUAGUACGUGAAAUUGUUGAAAGGGAAGCGCUUGUGACCAGACUUGGGCGCGGCGGAUCAUCCGGGGUUCUCUCCGGUGCACUUCGCCGCGUCUAGGCCAGCAUCAGUUCGUCGCGGGGGAAAAAGGCUUCGGGAACGUGGCUCCUCCGGGAGUGUUAUAGCCCGUUGCAUAAUACCCUGCGGUGGACUGAGGACCGCGCAUCUGCAAGGAUGCUGGCGUAAUGGUCACCAGCGACCCGUCUUGAAACACGGACCAAGGAGUCGUCUUCGUAUGCGAGUGUUCGGGUGUCAAACCCCUACGCGUAAUGAAAGUGAACGCAGGUGAGAGCUUCGGCGCAUCAUCGACCGAUCCUGAUGUUCUCGGAUGGAUUUGAGUAAGAGCAUACGGGGCCGGACCCGAAAGAAGGUGAACUAUGCCUGUAUAGGGUGAAGCCAGAGGAAACUCUGGUGGAGGCUCGCAGCGGUUCUGACGUGCAAAUCGAUUCGUCAAAUAUGGGCAUGGGGCGAAAGACUA